UUUUCUUUCUUUCUCUCUCUCUCUCUCUCUCUCUCUCUCGUAAAGCGAACAGCUUAAGGCAUUUCUCUGAUUUUGGUUUUGGGUGGUUGCGAAGGACAAAGGAGCUGGAAGGAGAAAGUUGGAUCUACGAAAUCCCAAGUAAUGCUAGCAGUUAUGACCUAUACGGAGAAAUCAGAAUAUGCCAGUGAUGUUCACGCUAUUCCUCUUAUUGCUCCCUUAGUAUAAAAACAGCCAGAAAGCGCCCUGUGUCAGGCUCUAUGGUGUACAGAGCUGUUCUCACCGCAUUCCCACUGAGCCGCACUGCACAGUUUCACAGAGUUGAAGCAAGAAAAAGCAAAACACAUGGACCGUACCUGAGUGAUUUCAGAGAUCCCCACCCGGAAAAGGGUUCCUUGAUUAUGGCGAGUUCAACGUGUCACUCCGGUUAUGCUCUAAUCAACAUAUCAAACUCCAAAGGUUCAGUGGCUUUAGGUUUGGUUUACAAUUCCUGGGAGUUAAACUUUAACUCACCCUGUCCCUUGCGUCCAUACAGCCCUUUGACCAGAUAAUUGGGUCACUACAGCUCCGCAGAAUCUACAUAACUGCCAGGGGUGUCUGUUUACAACAUUAAAAUAUGUUUUGCAUUAAAACCUGUGGAUGAGAA